UACGAAGGGGGCUAGCGUUGCUCGGAAUUACUGGGCGUAAAGGGCGCGUAGGCGGCACUGUUAGUUAGGCGUGAAAGUCCUGGGCUCAACCUGGGAACUGCGCUUGAUACGGCAGAGCUAGAGGAUGGAAGAGGCUCGCGGAAUUCCCAGUGUAGAGGUGAAAUUCGUAGAUAUUGGGAAGAACACCGGUGGCGAAGGCGGCGAGCUGGUCCAUUACUGACGCUGAGGCGCGACAGCGGUGGGGGAGCAAACAGG
rnacentral:rRNA from 1 species